GCAGAUUUGCACAUCGUCAGAGGUAAAUGACCCCAUGAUGCAGAGGAGUGCACUCCUGUGGGGAGAACAAACAAUCUCUGCUGAGUCACACAUGGAGCGAUGGCCACUGGCGAGUGCUUUUAACCAUACACUGAUGUGUUUAUCUUCACAAGGAAGAGGAGAAACGCGACGUGAUGCGGCCCCUCAGAGGCCCCGCCGGCUAAAUGAAGACAGAUGCGGGCGUUCGCUUUCAAGAGGUGGUGCAAAUCGUAAUGGAUGGCCACUGCAGAUUUCAAGCCUUCAAUUCGGAGUCAUAGGAUCCCAGACAGCUGAUCGAGUUUCGUCAAAUGGCUUUCAUGAAAUUUCUCCAGUGGCUCUAUUGAUUUUGUGGACCUCCUCACCUCCGAGUCUGACCGUGGAAAAUGGACAUGCACACACAUAACUGACGAGAUAAACAGAGAAGAGCUUCAAACAUUUCCUCUCAAUGGCCAUUUUUAGCUGCAUGGAAGCAAAGCCAGAUAGAGCUUGAAGUGGACCCUGACCUGGCACCAGUGCGGCCAGAUCAGGGCCAAGUCCACCCGGCAGAUCACCGCCAACUGAGACUCCAGAGGCCUGGACCCUCUCGGGGGAGUAGGGGAUGAUGGAUGAGAUCUUCCUAAACUUAUGCAGCUCUACGUUCCUCUGGAUAUUGUGUUUCCGAUUCAAAUAGGCCACUGAUCACUUCAUAUAUAUGAGCUCUAGAAAAAGCGUGGUUAUAGAAUGUCAAAGGCAUCACCCCCGCAUAAAGGGUAGUGUAAUGUAUGAUUUAUAUCCUAUCACAACAACAACAAAAAGUAAAACAAAGACAUGAACGAAAACAUGCACAUGCAAGUGUGUGUGCGGGUGUGUGCGUGUGUGUGUGUGUGUGUGUGUGAUCCUGGAUAACUGAGUUCCCCAGUGCACUUCAUUUUUGUCCCUCCUAAUAUGUCCAUCAGCCACUGCACUGCAAAAAUUCAGCUUUCAAAAACAAAAAAAAACAAAAGAAAUAAAAUGGGUCUUAUAUUGCUUAAAAUAAGCA
rnacentral:lncRNA from 1 species